CUUUUUAGAGCCAAAUAGAACUUUAUUAAGUGUGUGUGUCACACUUUCUUCAUCCAUUUAUCUGGUGGUGGGCAUCUAGGCAAAGACCGCAGCAAAAAACAUGGGUCCGAUUCCUUUGGCUAUAUGUCAAGGAGUGUUUUACCUCAACCAUAUGGAAGUCCUCUUAUUAGGUAAUUUCAGAGCCAUCACACUGACUGCACUGGCAGAUGCUCUUCCUGUUGGUAUGUUGACUGAACUCAUAACCGUAGCUUCAGCUUCCGGUGGCUCUGUUACAUGACCAGUAAGGACGGGAAGAAUCCAAGAGACUGCCUCCAGCAGAUGUUGGAGCAGGAACAAAGCUCCUUUUUGAUCAUUUAGUUCUUUCAGAGUUGAGACAUUUAUAAAUCGGUAAUAUUCUUAAAUUGAAA
rnacentral:lncRNA from 1 species